rnacentral:rRNA from 1 species
UUGGCUUAGAAGCAGCCAUCCUUGAAAGAGUGCGUAAUAGCUCACUGGUCAAGUGGUUCUGCGCCGACAAUGUAGCGGGGCUCAAGCGUACCGCCGAAGCUGUGGCAACAACACGCGAUGCUGGCGCCAGGAACUGGAGUGCUGGUGUGUUGUUGGGUAGGGGAGCGUCCUGCACGAGGUGAAGCCUGGAGGGAACUUCUGGUGGAUUGUGUGGGAGUGAGAAUGCAGGCAUGAGUAACGAAUCUGCGGUGAGAAUCCGCAGCGCCGAUUGACUAAGGGUUCCAGGGCUAGGUUUAUCCGCCCUGGGUUAGUCGGGUCCUAAGGCGAGGCCGACAGGCGUAGUCGAUGGACAACCAGUUGAUAUUCUGGUACCGCGUUAUGACCGCCCAUGCUGAAGUCAUUGUGCUAACCAAUCUGCUCACGCCGCCACUAAGCCUUCGGGUUUGUUGGUGUGUGUGGGUCUUGGGGCCCCGGUGAUUGUAGGCAAGCGUGUUAACAGGGGUGACGCAGACAGGUAGCUGCAGUGCGCCGAUGGUUGUGCGUAUUUAAGGUUGUGGCCCGUUCCUCAGGUAAAUCCGGGGGACACUAGGGGUGAGAACUGAUGAGGGACACACGCGUGUGUGGACUUGUGGUGAUCCUAUGCUGCCGAGAAAAGCCUCGACGUGAGGGCAUAACGCGCCCGUACCCUAAACCGACUCAGGUGGUCAGGUAGAGUAUACCGAGGCGUUCGAGUGAAUCGUGGUUAAGGAACUCGGCAAAAUUCCUCCGUAACUUCGGGAUAAGGAGGACCCCGUGACUUCCCCGUGCCUUGCGCGCGGUGUGGGGUUGUGGGGUCGCAGAGAAUAGGGAGAAGCGACUGUUUAUCAAAAACACAGGUGCGUGCGAAGCCGUAAGGCGAUGUAUACGCACUGACGCCUGCCCGGUGCUGGAAGGUUAAGAGGAACCGUCAACACUCCUUUGGGGUGUGAAGCGGUGAAUUUAAGCCCCAGUAAACGGCGGUGGUAACUAUAACCAUCCUAAGGUAGCGAAAUUCCUUGUCGGGUAAGUUCCGACCUGCACGAAUGGCGUAACGACUUCUCCGCUGUCUCAACCGCGAACUCGGUGAAAUUGCAGUACGAGUAAAGAUGCUCGUUUCGCGCAGAAGGACGGAAAGACCCCGGGACCUUUACUAUAGCUUGGUAUUGGUGUUCGCUUGGACUUGUGUAGGAUAGGUGGGAGACUGUGAAGCUGCCGCGCCAGCGGUGGUGGAGUCGUCGUUGAAAUACCAUUCUGGUUCAAGCGGUCACCUCAACCUAGACCCGUGAUCCGGGUUGGGGACAGUGCCUGGUGGGUAGUUUAACUGGGGCGGUUGCCUCCUAAAAUGUAACGGAGGCGCUCAAAGGUUCCCUCAGCCUGGUUGGUAAUCAGGUGGCGAGUGCAAGUGUACAAGGGAGCUUGACUGUGAGACCGACGGGUCGAGCAGGUGCGAAAGCAGGAACUAGUGAUCCGGCCAUGGCACGUGGGUGCGUGGUCGCUCAACGGAUAAAAGGUACCCCGGGGAUAACAGGCUGAUCUUGCCCAAGAGUCCAUAUCGACGGCAUGGUUUGGCACCUCGAUGUCGGCUCGUCGCAUCCUGGGGCUGGAGUUGGUCCCAAGGGUUGGGCUGUUCGCCCAUUAAAGCGGUACGCGAGCUGGGUUCAGAACGUCGUGAGACAGUUCGGUCCCUAUCCUCUGUGCGCGCAGGAAACUUGAGAAGGGCCGUCCCUAGUACGAGAGGACCGGGAUGGACGAACCUCUGGUGUGCCAGUUGUACCGCCAGGUGCAUGGCUGGUUGGCUACGUUCGGAAGGGAUAACCGCUGAAAGCAUCUAAGCGGGAAGCCUGCUUCAAGAUGAGGUUUCCACGCCCCCACUGUGGGGUGAGAGGCCCCCGCCAGACUAGCGGGUUGAUAGGCCAGAGGUGGAAGCACCGUGAGGUGCUCGUGAGCCGACUGGUACUAAUGGGCCAACACUAAACAAC